rnacentral:rRNA from 1 species
UACGUAGGGUGCAAGCGUUAAUCGGAAUUACUGGGCGUAAAGCGUGCGCAGGCGGUUAUGCAAGACAGAUGUGAAAUCCCCGGGCUAACCUGGGAACCGCAUUUGUGACUGCAUAGCUGGAGUACGGCAGAGGGGAUGGAAUUCCGCGUGUAGCAGUGAAAUGCGUAGAUAUGCGGAGGAACACCGGAUGGCGAAGGCAGUCCCCUGGGCCUGUACUGACGCUCGAUGCACGAAAGCGUGGGGAGCAAAC